rnacentral:rRNA from 1 species
UACAGAGGGGGCAAGCGUUGUUCGGAAUUACUGGGCGUAAAGGGCGCGUAGGCGGCCUGCUAAGUCGAACGUGAAAUCCCCGGGCUCAACCCGGGAACUGCGUCCGAGACUGGCGGGCUUGAAUUCGGGAGAGGGAUGCGGAAUUCCAGGUGUAGCGGUGAAAUGCGUAGAUAUCUGGAGGAACACCGGUGGCGAAGGCGGCAUCCUGGACCAAUACUGACGCUGAGGAGCGAAAGCCAGGGGAGCAAACGGG